CGGCAUGUUCCAGGGCAUGCGAGGUGGGGGCGCCUUCCCAGGCGGCUCCCGCUUUGGUUUCGGGUUUGGCAAUGGCAUGAAGCAGAUGAGGCGGACCUGGAAGACCUGGACCACAGCCGACUUCCGGACCAAGAAGAAGAAGAGAAAGCAGGGCGGCAGUCCUGACGAGCCAGAUAGCAAAGCCACCCGCACGGACUGCUCGGACAAUAGCGACUCAGACAAUGAUGAGGGCACCGAGGGGGAAGCCACAGAGGGCCUUGAAGGCACCGAGGCUGUGGAGAAGGGCUCCAGAGUGGUAAGUGGCUCUGGCUGGGCAUUUUCUGUCUGCAGGCGGGGCGAGCUGGCCUGAAGAGUGGUGCUCUCCCUGGGGGCCAGAGGCAGUGCUGUGUCAGCUCUGUGUGCAUGGUGACCAGCAUGGGGAGGCAGUGUGGUCUGGCAGAAAGCACAGGCUGCCUAGCUGGAGGCACAGUUUCCUUGUUGGAAAAUGGGAUGAGCCCCCUGUGCACCAGGUAGUGGGAGGAUGUGAGGUUUCCGGCACAUAGCCGGGCCUUGUCAUUUAAAGCCAUUGUAAAUAACUGGGCUACUCUGGGCCACCCUGCCUAUAGGAUAGCCCUGCUCUGUCUGUGGAGCAAGCAGCUGUUUUACUAUAUACCGUUGCUCUAAUAAACUUGGUUCCUUUUUUUAAAAAAAA
rnacentral:sRNA from 1 species